rnacentral:tRNA from 1 species
GACGUUGUGGCGCAAUGGAAGCGCGCCUGCUUGCAGGAGACCUGGGUUCGAAAUUCUGGGAUUCGAACUUCGAAUCCCUGCGGUGUCA